GGUUAAGCGACUAAGCGUACACGGUGGAUGCCCUGGCAGUCAGAGGCGAUGAAGGACGUGCUAAUCUGCGAUAAGCGUCGGUAAGGUGAUAUGAACCGUUAUAACCGGCGAUUUCCGAAUGGGGAAACCCAGUGUGUUUCGACACACUAUCAUUAACUGAAUCCAUAGGUUAAUGAGGCGAACCGGGGGAACUGAAACAUCUAAGUACCCCGAGGAAAAGAAAUCAACCGAGAUUCCCCCAGUAGCGGCGAGCGAACGGGGAGCAGCCCAGAGCCUGAAUCAGUGUGUGUGUUAGUGGAAGCGUCUGGAAAGGCGCGCGAUACAGGGUGACAGCCCCGUACACAAAAAUGCACAUGCUGUGAGCUCGAUGAGUAGGGCGGGACACGUGGUAUCCUGUCUGAAUAUGGGGGGACCAUCCUCCAAGGCUAAAUACUCCUGACUGACCGAUAGUGAACCAGUACCGUGAGGGAAAGGCGAAAAGAACCCCGGCGAGGGGAGUGAAAAAGAACCUGAAACCGUGUACGUACAAGCAGUGGGAGCACGCUUAGGCGUGUGACUGCGUACCUUUUGUAUAAUGGGUCAGCGACUUAUAUUCUGUAGCAAGGUUAACCGAAUAGGGGAGCCGAAGGGAAACCGAGUCUUAACUGGGCGUUAAGUUGCAGGGUAUAGACCCGAAACCCGGUGAUCUAGCCAUGGGCAGGUUGAAGGUUGGGUAACACUAACUGGAGGACCGAACCGACUAAUGUUGAAAAAUUAGCGGAUGACUUGUGGCUGGGGGUGAAAGGCCAAUCAAACCGGGAGAUAGCUGGUUCUCCCCGAAAGCUAUUUAGGUAGCGCCUCGUGAAUUCAUCUCCGGGGGUAGAGCACUGUUUCGGCAAGGGGGUCAUCCCGACUUACCAACCCGAUGCAAACUGCGAAUACCGGAGAAUGUUAUCACGGGAGACACACGGCGGGUGCUAACGUCCGUCGUGAAGAGGGAAACAACCCAGACCGCCAGCUAAGGUCCCAAAGUCAUGGUUAAGUGGGAAACGAUGUGGGAAGGCCCAGACAGCCAGGAUGUUGGCUUAGAAGCAGCCAUCAUUUAAAGAAAGCGUAAUAGCUCACUGGUCGAGUCGGCCUGCGCGGAAGAUGUAACGGGGCUAAACCAUGCACCGAAGCUGCGGCAGCGACGCUGAUGCGUUGUUGGGUAGGGGAGCGUUCUGUAAGCCUGCGAAGGUGUGCUGUGAGGCAUGCUGGAGGUAUCAGAAGUGCGAAUGCUGACAUAAGUAACGAUAAAGCGGGUGAAAAGCCCGCUCGCUGGAAGACCAAGGGUUCCUGUCCAACGUUAAUCGGGGCAGGGUGAGUCGACCCCUAAGGCGAGGCCGAAAGGCGUAGUCGAUGGGAAACAGGUUAAUAUUCCUGUACUUGGUGUUACUGCGAAGGGGGGACGGAGAAGGCUAUGUUGGCCGGGCGACGGUUGUCCCGGUUUAAGCGUGUAGGCUGGUUUUCCAGGCAAAUCCGGAAAAUCAAGGCUGAGGCGUGAUGACGAGGCACUACGGUGCUGAAGCAACAAAUGCCCUGCUUCCAGGAAAAGCCUCUAAGCAUCAGGUAACAUCAAAUCGUACCCCAAACCGACACAGGUGGUCAGGUAGAGAAUACCAAGGCGCUUGAGAGAACUCGGGUGAAGGAACUAGGCAAAAUGGUGCCGUAACUUCGGGAGAAGGCACGCUGAUAUGUAGGUGAGGUCCCUCGCGGAUGGAGCUGAAAUCAGUCGAAGAUACCAGCUGGCUGCAACUGUUUAUUAAAAACACAGCACUGUGCAAACACGAAAGUGGACGUAUACGGUGUGACGCCUGCCCGGUGCCGGAAGGUUAAUUGAUGGGGUUAGCGCAAGCGAAGCUCUUGAUCGAAGCCCCGGUAAACGGCGGCCGUAACUAUAACGGUCCUAAGGUAGCGAAAUUCCUUGUCGGGUAAGUUCCGACCUGCACGAAUGGCGUAAUGAUGGCCAGGCUGUCUCCACCCGAGACUCAGUGAAAUUGAACUCGCUGUGAAGAUGCAGUGUACCCGCGGCAAGACGGAAAGACCCCGUGAACCUUUACUAUAGCUUGACACUGAACAUUGAGCCUUGAUGUGUAGGAUAGGUGGGAGGCUUUGAAGUGUGGACGCCAGUCUGCAUGGAGCCGACCUUGAAAUACCACCCUUUAAUGUUUGAUGUUCUAACGUUGACCCGUAAUCCGGGUUGCGGACAGUGUCUGGUGGGUAGUUUGACUGGGGCGGUCUCCUCCUAAAGAGUAACGGAGGAGCACGAAGGUUGGCUAAUCCUGGUCGGACAUCAGGAGGUUAGUGCAAUGGCAUAAGCCAGCUUGACUGCGAGCGUGACGGCGCGAGCAGGUGCGAAAGCAGGUCAUAGUGAUCCGGUGGUUCUGAAUGGAAGGGCCAUCGCUCAACGGAUAAAAGGUACUCCGGGGAUAACAGGCUGAUACCGCCCAAGAGUUCAUAUCGACGGCGGUGUUUGGCACCUCGAUGUCGGCUCAUCACAUCCUGGGGCUGAAGUAGGUCCCAAGGGUAUGGCUGUUCGCCAUUUAAAGUGGUACGCGAGCUGGGUUUAGAACGUCGUGAGACAGUUCGGUCCCUAUCUGCCGUGGGCGCUGGAGAACUGAGGGGGGCUGCUCCUAGUACGAGAGGACCGGAGUGGACGCAUCACUGGUGUUCGGGUUGUCAUGCCAAUGGCACUGCCCGGUAGCUAAAUGCGGAAGAGAUAAGUGCUGAAAGCAUCUAAGCACGAAACUUGCCCCGAGAUGAGUUCUCCCUGACUCCUUGAGAGUCCUGAAGGAACGUUGAAGACGACGACGUUGAUAGGCCGGGUGUGUAAGCGCAGCGAUGCGUUGAGCUAACCGGUACUAAUGAACCGUGAGGCUUAACCUU
rnacentral:rRNA from 1 species